CUUUAUUUGAGAGUUUGAUCCUGGCUCAGGAUGAACGCUGGCGGCGUGCCUAAUACAUGCAAGUCGAGCGAAUGGAUUAAGAGCUUGCUCUUAUGAAGUUAGCGGCGGACGGGUGAGUAACACGUGGGUAACCUG
rnacentral:rRNA from 1 species